AUCUUUCAGUUAUAUUACGGCAUAUAGGCCAAAAUUUCAAAAUUAGUCAGUACUUCCAGAUAAGAAAUUUAGUUAUGAAAUAUUAUUAAGCGCUAAUUAAGUUAACGGAUCAUAGGAAUUAUCAAGCCAAAUAUUUUCUGCCAGAAAUAAGUCAAUUAUUAGAUGCUAACACAUCAAAUUGGUUAAAUUUUAGGUAAACAAGGCAAAAUGGAUCUCAAGAGGACACUUAAAAAUCUUGCAUCAAAAUCUGGUGCACCAGCUUUGGAUUUAACUGGUCGUAACAUCAUAAUGUAUCCUGCUUCUAAAUUUUGGUGAUUAUCUUAAAAGCAGCUUGGUAAGGGGUGUACUACAUUAUAGCGGAUCGAAAAUAACUAUAACGUACAAAUUAGAUAUAUAUGAUCUACUUACCCUUAUAAUGUGUGCAAUAAUGAUGACAUCAUCGAUAUAAAUUAUAGGCAUAAACUAUAUUGAUAACAGCUUACUAUAUACAAAAUUUUGAUUCCCCUGCUAGCACUAGAGAGGAAAAAUGUGGAGAGAUAAUGAGACCAAUCCUGUACGAAUUCUGGAACUUUAUUUUUUGUGACAAAUCCUUUUCGUUAAACAAUUCAUAUACGUAACAUAAAUAAAAAAACUAAUAU